UUUUAAUUAAUUGGUACACAAAACGUUUGCUUUUUAGGUAGAAUUACUGUCAUGUUAUUGAUGCCAAAUUGGAAACCUUAUUUGCACCUUCUCUAUUCCAGAACCAGUGGGUGUGCCUGAGUCUUGCCACCUCUCAACUAGAUGCAGACCCAAAGACAUUCAAACAGCAUUUUGAGAGCAAGCGUUCCAAGUCGCCAAUGGUCCCAAUACUGGUUGAUGUGCAGGCCUAAAUGACCACAAACAAUUGACCUACAGCUGGGACACACGAUGACCACAAUUUGAAUGCUGCAACUGAAACAAUGCCGUUGAGGGACACACGCUGAGAGCCCGAAUAUGACUGGACAUGGACCAGAUAUUUGUGACAACGACCUAAGAGGUGCAGGAGCACAGCAGCACCCUAAUUUAUGUUUAUUCCAUGGCCAAACAUCUCUCCAGCUACCCCAUAUUACACACCAUGCCUUUUAUGCCCUCCUCAACUUCGGACAUUUUAGAACUCUCAAUCUUAUCUCUAUAAACCCACCCUACCUUCACCCAUUUUCCCUAUGCUGCUUCCUUCACUUGUUCUUCUCCUGAUUUGAUAACAUCUAGACUCAGUAACAUGUUUAAAGUGUUGUGGUGUACUUUUUUUCCCCACCUGUGUAAUGCUGUCCUGCUAAUUCUGGGGUUCAGACUAGGGUUGCAAAGGGUGGGAAACCUUCCAGGAAACUUCCAGAAUUUUUCCAUGGGAAUCCUUCUUAAAUUCUUCAAAAAAAAUUAGCUUGUAACAGUUAACUUCUUUUGUGGGAUACACAAGGCAAUUCUAGGUCUUGUGGCAUAUUUUGGUUAAACUAUCCCCAAUUCAAUGGAAUUGCAACCCUCUGCAUGCACAUUGCAUUCUUCCAUAGCAUGUACAGCUGAUCCUCAAGAUCUUGCACACUAAUGAGAUGCUAUUGAGCCCACACUACUACACUGUCUGAGCAAAGGACUACAUGCUUUCUGGUAAGUUUUCAUUACAAUACUGGGUGGGGUGAAUAUAUAUUUUACAUGACAUACAUUA